rnacentral:hammerhead_ribozyme from 1 species
AUUCAGCUGACAAGUCUCAAAUAGGACGAAACGCAAGUCCUGAAU